UCAGUAACACGUAGUCAACCUAACCUGUGGACGUGGAUAAUCUCGGGAAACUGAGGAUAAACCACGAUAGAUAACGGUGCCUGGAAUGGCCCAUUGUCCAAACAGUUUACUGCCACGGGAUGGGACUGCGGCCUAUCAGCUUGUUGGUGAGGUAAUGGCCCACCAAGGCUAUAACAGGUACGGGCUCUGAGAGGAGAAGCCCGGAGAUGGGUACUGAGACACGGACCCAGGCCCUAUGGGGCGCAGCAGGCGAGAAACCUUAGCAAUGUGCGAAAGCACGACUGGGUCAGUCCGAGUGAUUUCUUGAUAAAGGAAUCUUUUUCGCCCGUCCUAAAUAGGCACUGGGCGAAUAAGGGGUGGGCAA
rnacentral:rRNA from 1 species